rnacentral:rRNA from 1 species
UGGGGAAUUUUGGACAAUGGGCGCAAGCCUGAUCCAGCAAUGCCGCGUGCAGGAUGAAGGCCUUCGGGUUGUAAACUGCUUUUGUACGGAACGAAAAAGCUCUCUCUAAUACAGGGGGUGAAUGACGGUACCGUAAGAAUAAGCACCGGCUAACUACGUGCCAGCAGCCGCGGUAAUACGUAGGGUGCAAGCGUUAAUCGGAAUUACUGGGCGUAAAGCGUGCGCAGGCGGUUUUGUAAGACAGAGGUGAAAUCCCCGGGCUCAACCUGGGAACUGCCUAUGUGACUGCAAAGCUGGAGUGCGGCAGAGGGGGAUAGAAUUCCGCGUGUAGCAGUGAAAUGCGUAGAUAUGCGGAGGAACACCGAUGGCGAAGGCAAUCCCCUGGGCCUGCUCUGACGCUCAUGCACGAAAGCGUGGGGAGCAAACA